UUUUGUAAUUUGUAUGCAGUAUUGGAAGUUUAGGUCCAAAUAAUACAUUUGCUAAUGUGGAAAACGUUUAUAUAACAAAUUGCCACUUAGAGGAUACCCAAAAUGGUGUUAGAAUUAAGUCAUGGCAGGGUGGUUCAGGAUAUGCUAGGUCUAUACAUUUUGAGAAUAUUAACCUCAAAAAUGUAGAAAACCCAAUCAUUAUUGAUCAAAAUUAUUGCAAUGGUGGUCAUUCAUGUCAACCUCAGGUAAGUGCAGUUAAAG